rnacentral:rRNA from 1 species
ACCCGCUGAACUUAAGCAUAUCAAUAAGCGGAGGAAAAGAAACCAACAGGGAUUGCCCUAGUAACGGCGAGUGAAGCGGCAACAGCUCAAAUUUGAAAUCUGGCCCCCUGUGGGGUCCGAGUUGUAAUUUGUAGAGGGUGUUUCGGCGGCGGACCCAGCCUAAGUUCCUUGGAACGGGACGUCAUAGAGGGUGAGAACCCCGUAUGCGGCUGGUGUGCGUUGCCAUGUGAAACCCCUUCGACGAGUCGAGUUGUUUGGGAAUGCAGCUCUAAAUGGGAGGUAUAUUUCUUCUAAAGCUAAAUACUGGCCAGAGACCGAUAGCGCACAAGUAGAGUGAUCGAAAGAUGAAAAGCACUUUGGAAAGAGAGUCAAACAGCACGUGAAAUUGUUGAAAGGGAAGCGCUUGCCACCAGACUUGUCGGCCGUCGUUCAUCCCGGGGUCUCCCCGGGUGCACGCGGCGGCAGACAGGCCAGCAUCAGUGGGGGCGGUCGGACAAAGGCGUGGGGAAUGUAGCUCUCUUCGGGGAGUGUUAUAGCCCUGCGUGUCCCACGGCCAGCCCCGACUGAGGUCCGCGCUUCGGCUAGGAUGCUGGCGUAAUGGUUGC